UGGGGAAUUUUGGACAAUGGGCGAAAGCCUGAUCCAGCAAUGCCGCGUGUGUGAAGAAGGCCUUCGGGUUGUAAAGCACUUUUGUCCGGAAAGAAAUCCUUGGCUCUAAUACAGUCGGGGGAUGACGGUACCGGAAGAAUAAGCACCGGCUAACUACGUGCCAGCAGCCGCGGUAAUACGUAGGGUGCAAGCGUUAACCGGAAUUACUGGGCGUAAAGCGUGCGCAGGCGGUUUGCUAAGACCGAUGUGAAAUCCCCGGGCUCAACCUGGGAACUGCAUUGGUGACUGGCAGGCUAGAGUAUGGCAGAGGGGGGUAGAAUUCCACGUGUAGCAGUGAAAUGCGUAGAGAUGUGGAGGAAUACCGAUGGCGAAGGCAGCCCCCUGGGCCAAAUACUGACGCUCAUGCACGAAAGCGUGGGGAGCAAACAGGAUUAGAUACCCUGGUAGUCCACGCCCUAAAACGAUGUCAACUAGUUGUUGGGGAUUCAUUUCCUUAGUAACGUAGCUAACGCGUGAAGUUGACCGCCUGGGGAGUACGGUCGCAAGAUUAAAACUUAAAUGAAUUGACGGGG
rnacentral:rRNA from 1 species